rnacentral:lncRNA from 1 species
UCUAGCAAUGGUCAGGCUCACAGCAACAUAUCUUUGGGCUCAUCUCUCACUGCUGCAACUGAUAACCUUCCUUGGACUUCACCAUCCGGGGAAUUUGCUUUUGGAUUCCAACAAGUCGGUGAUGCUGGCUACCUACUUGCCAUAUGGUUCAACAAAAUACCCGAAAGAACCAUAGUCUGGUCAGCUAAUAGAAAUGAUCUAGUUCAGGGGGGAUCAACAGUACAACUUACGGAAGAUGGUGAGUUGGUUCUAAAUGAUCAAUUAGGCAGACAAAUAUGGAUCCGUCCACAAUCGGGUGGAAGUGGAGCCGCCUAUGCAGCCAUGCUUGACACGGGAAACUUCGUGGUAGCAAGCCAAGCUGGUGCCAAUUUGUGGCAGAGUUUUGAUGAUCCAACAGACACACUGUUGCCCACACAAAAUCUGAAUUCAGGUGCUCAACUAAUUGCUCCCUACCUGGAAAAGAAUUAUUCAGAUGGAAGAUUCAAGUUCAUUCUACAAGCUGAUGGGAAUCUCGUCUUGUACACCACACACUAUCCAUUAACUACCUCAAAUUUUGCUUAUUGGUCAACCCAAAGUUCUAUAGGUAGCGGUUAUCAGGUGGUCUUUAACCAGUCUGGCUAUAUGUACCUUGUAGCUACAAAUGGUACUGUACUUGAUUCGGUAUUCUCUAAUCCAGUAUCAAUCCAAGAUUUCUACUUGAGGGCAACCCUGGACUAUGAUGGAGUUCUUAGGCAAUAUGUUUAUCCAAAGACUGCUUCCAGUAGCAGAAGCAGGGCUAUGGCCUGGACGACUUUGUCAAACUCCAUACCAUCAAAUAUCUGCAUGAGAAUUGGGGGACAAGUUGGCGGUGGAGCUUGCGGUUUCAACAGCUAUUGCAGAUUAGGAGAUGACCAAAGACCAAGUUGCAAGUGUCCUCCUGGUUACACUUUCUUUGAUCCAAAUGAUGAGAGGAAGGGAUGCAAGAAAGACUUUAUUUCACAGGAUUGUGACCAUCCAUCGCAAGAAAUAGAUAGCUUUGAGAUCGAGGAAAUGCCUAACACAAACUGGCCAUUUAAUGAUUAUGAAAUGUUUCAACCAGUGGGUGAGGAUUGGUGCAGACAGGCUUGUUUAAGUGACUGUUAUUGUGAUGUUACCAUUUAUAACACUGCUGGACAAUGUUGGAUGAAGAGAGUCCCUCUCUCGAAUGGGGUAACAGGUUCAAGUGUUGAUGGAAAAGCCCUGAUAAAAGUAAGGAAAGGCAACUUGACUGCAGGUUCAAGUGCAAAGAAGUGUGAUAGAUCGAAUUUGAUCACAACAGGCUCGGUGCUUUUAGGUAGCUCCAUCUUUCUAAUUGUUCUCUCACUGCUAGGAAUCUUUGUGUUCUUUUCUCGAUGGAACCGACAGCGACAAAAAACGAUACCGCAACAGCGUCUCAUGCCAGACAUGAAUAUGCAGAAUUUCACUUACAGUGAGCUUGAAAGAGCUACAGGAGGAUUCAAGGAAGAACUCGGUAGAGGUUCCUUUGGAACUGUUUACAAAGGAGUACUAGCGAACGAAGACAAACCACUCAUUGCAGUGAAUGUUGAAUAAACUCAAUCUAGAAGCACCUAGAUGGUCAAGGAAGGCAACCACCCACCAGCCGCAGCCGCCAGCCGCCUUCACACCGCCGGUCAACAGCCGCCUUCACACCUGGAACAGUAGAUUUUCGUAUUCUGAAUUUAUGUAUAAAUAGGGUGCUCAAUUAUGUUAUUUCGUGUGGAGAGAAUUGUGAGAAACACUUGAAAGAGAAUAGAGAGAAAGAGGGCGUGUUUAAGCUUUUGUUUUGUGUUAAUUGUAAGCUUCGGAUUUUGUAAUAAAACCAGUGUGUUUUAUCCCCUCUGAGUGUUUCAAAGCCACCACCAGUGGUUCCUCCCACCAACAAUUGGUAUCAGAGCCCCGUUCGUCGGAAAACAGAAGUGUUUUGGGGUAUAUCCGAAUUUUCAAAAUUGUCAAAAACAAGUUUUGAUUAUUCCACAGUGUAGAGCUCAUCAAGACGAACUCAUUGCCGCAAAAAUCAGCCAAAUCGGAGUUCGGCGCCGCCUGAAUAUUCAGACAGAUCGCCCACGCGCAUCCCACGCGCCACGAGGUUGAAGACGGCUGAGUCACACGCGCGCCAUAUUCGAGCCGUGUAAGCCGCCUAAGCCGAGCCGAUAGCCGAGCCACAAGCCGAGCCGUACCCCGAGCUGAGCCGAGCCGCGUUCCAGCCUAAGCCGAGCCGAAGGAAUAUUCCCAGAAUAUUCCUCGAAUAUUCCCAGAAUAUUCCCCGAAUAUUCCACAGAAUAUUCCCGGUUCAACCCAGCGAACCGCCCGCCGUACAGAAUUGGUUUUUUGACCGGUUCACCCAUUUUCUGACCCGAUUUCAACAAAGUCAGACCGGUUCCCGACUAUUUGGACCAUUCCGGAUCGAUCUACAGUGUCCGUUUGGUCAAAUUCGGCUCCCAGAAGGCGAUAUAGUCAUUAAAGAGCAAAAUGACUACAGAAGGUACACAUACACUCAUCCAAGCUGACCAAAGACAACUAUGAUAGUUGGUGCAUCAGAUUGAAGGCAUUUCUUGGGUCACAAGAGUGUUUUGAUAUUGUACAAACUGGUUAUGAUGAACCAGAGUCCAAAGAAAGAGAAGAUGUUUUACAAGAGGCACAGAAGCAAGCCCUCAAAGUCAACAGAAAGAAGGACAACAAAGCAAAGACCAUCAUCUAUCAAGGUCUUGAUGAAGAUACAUUCGAGAUAAUAGCUUCCGCUGAAACGUCACAUGAUAUAUGGGAGGCUCUCCAACAGAAAUACAAAGGUGCUGACAGAAUCAAGAAGAUUCGUCUUCAAUCUUUGAGAGGAGAAUUCGAAUUAUUACGAAUGAAGUCCUCAGAAUCUAUUUCUGAUUAUCACACAAGGAUUAUGGUGAUAGUCAACCAGAUGAGAAGAAAUGGAGAAGCCCUCAUCGAUACUCGAAUUAUUGAGAAAAUUUUGAGAUCCAUAGAUCCAAAAUUUGAUCAUGUUGUUGUCGCAAUUGAAGAGUCCAAGGAAGUGGACAAGUUGACAGUGGAUGAGCUUAUGAGUUCUUUGCAAGCUCAUGAGCAGAAGAUUGUAAUGCGAAAUGAAGAUAAGGCCAUUGAGCAUGCCUUACAAGCAAAGCUGUCUUUCAAGGACAGAUAUGAGCAAGGGGAGACUUCAUCAAGUGGCUACACCACUCAAGGAGGAAGUCAACAAUCCAGAGGAGGAUUCAGAGAUUCCAAGGAAGAGGUUCUUGGAAUACAAGCUUUAGAGGAAGAGGUGGCAGAAACACCACCAGAGGAGGCCGAGGCAACAAGCAUUCACUCCUAGAGGAAGAGGAGGCGGUUACAAUAACCGUGACAAGAGAAAUAUCAAAUGUUAUAGCUGCAAUCAAUUUGGGCACUAUAGCACUGAAUGCCGAUGGAAAGCUCCGUUGGAGAUACGUGAGCAAGCCAACUAUGUAGAGAAGCAUGAUGGAGAAGCAUCUGCAUUUCUUGUCCAACAAGAAUUGGCGAGAAACAGGAGAAUAUGGUAUCUAGAUACUGGAGCCAGCAAUCACAUGUGGGCUACCGAGAGUUAUUUGGUGAUCUAGAUGAGACCAAGCAAGGUCUAGUUACUUUUGGAGAUACCACAAAGGUUCCAUUCAAAGGUAAAGGCAACAUCCCAGUCAAGUUGAAGAAUGGCGAUUCCAGCUACAUCGCCGAUGUGUAUUAUGUCCCAGCCAUAAAGCAGAACCUGAUCAGCUUAGGCCAACUUUUGGAGAGAGGAUAUAGUUUUUACUCGAAGAAUUGUCAUCUGACAAUUAGAGACAACAAUGGGAGAUUAAUGGCCUACGUGAAAAUGUCCAAGAAUAGGAUGUUUCCUUUGAACAUCCAGUAUGAUGCAACAAGGUGUUUGAGUGCCAUCACCAACAGUGAAGAAUGGCUUUGGCACCUGAGGCUUGGACAUCUGAAUUUCACGAGUAUGAAGAUGCUAGCAAGCAAGAAGAUGGUCAAAGGUUUGCCUCACAUUGAUCAUCCAGAUGAAGUCUGUGAGAGUUGUGUCCUCAGCAAACAUCACAGAUCCAGUUUUGCCAAAGAAGUCAACUGGAGAGCAAAGAGGCCACUGGAGUUAGUACACACAGAUGUGUGUGGCCCAAUUACGCCUAUGUCGACUGGACAAAAUAGGUACUUCCUCACUUUUACUGAUGAUUUUAGUAGAAAGACGUGGAUAUACUUUCUGAAGAGGAAGUCAGAAGUAUUCAAUUGUUUUAAAGAUUUUAAAGCAAUUGUGGAGAAGCAAACUGGUUACACGAUCAGAACCGUAAGAUCUGAUCAAGGUGGAGAAUAUACAGCAAAUGACUUUGAAGCCUAUUGUACACAACAAGGCAUCAGACAUCAGACGACGCCAGCUUAUACACCACAGCUGAACGGUGUAGCAGAAAGGAAGAAUCGCACGAUUCUUGACAUGGCCAGAAGUUUGCUCAAAGCAAAGAAGUUGCCCAAGCAAUACUGGGCUGAAGCUGUAUCAUGUGCAGUGUAUCUGUUGAAUCGCUGCCCAACCAGAAGUUUGCAAGGAGUCACUCCAGAAGAAGCAUGGAGUGGUCACAAACCAAGUGUUACUCAUCUACGAGUCUUUGGUUGUGUGGCAUAUGCAAAGAUCCCAGAUGCAAGAAGGAGAAAGCUCGAUGAUAAGAGCGAGAAAUGCAUCUUUGUCGGAUAUGGUGAAAGAAGGAUGGGAUACAGGCUGUAUAAUCCCAUCACGAAGAAGGUGAUUACGAGUAGAGAUGUUAUCUUUGAAGAAGAUAAAUCUUGGGCAUGGAAUGGUGAUCAAGAAGCAAUCAAAUGGAUCAAUCUUGAUUUGAUCCUUGAAGGUGAAGAAGUACCAACAGUACUUGUCGAAGAACCGAUUGUGCCAGCAGCUGAACCACAAAGUCCGGUGUUUAUACCAGCAGCUGAACCACAAAGUCCGGUACACAGUUCCCUGUAUUCAACAGGAGGAACACACCAGGAGCAUCAUCAUCAACACCACCAUCAGCAUCCUCGUCAGAAGGACCAAGAAAGAUGCGGAAUCUUGAAGAGUUGUACGAUACCACUCAGGUCAUGGAAGAUACAACUCUGUUUUGUUUCCAUGCAGAUAAGGACCCACCAGAAAAGAAGAAAGCAAUAGGUGUCAAAAGGGUCUACAAGCAGAAAGAAGGCAUUGAAAGGAGAAGUGUUCAUGCUUGGCAUGACAUCCCUCGAUUGAGUUUAAAGGGGAGAUUUGUUGAAUAAACUCAAUCUAGAAGCACCUAGAUGGUCAAGGAAGGCAACCACCCACCAGCCGCAGCCGCCAGCCGCCUUCACACCGCCGGUCAACAGCCGCCUUCACACCUGGAACAGUAGAUUUUCGUAUUCUGAAUUUAUGUAUAAAUAGGGUGCUCAAUUAUGUUAUUUCGUGUGGAGAGAAUUGUGAGAAACACUUGAAAGAGAAUAGAGAGAAAGAGGGCGUGUUUAAGCUUUUGUUUUGUGUUAAUUGUAAGCUUCGGAUUUUGUAAUAAAACCAGUGUGUUUUAUCCCCUCUGAGUGUUUCAAAGCCACCACCAGUGGUUCCUCCCACCAACAGUGAAGAAGUUAGAUAAGAUGGCCGGAGAGGGCGACAAAGAAUUCAAUACAGAAGUGAAAGUUAUUGGAAGAACAAAUCACAAGAAUUUGGUUCAGCUUGUUGGAUUCUGUAACGAAGGGGAACAUCGCCUUCUGGUCUAUGAAUACAUGAGCAAUGGCUCUUUGGCCAAUUUUCUCUUUGGAGAUUCAAGGCCUAACUGGUACCGAAGAAUGCAAAUUGCUUUCGAUAUAGCCAGAGGGCUCCUUUACCUCCACGAAGAAUGCAGCUCCCAGAUAAUCCAUUGUGAUAUCAAGCCUCAAAAUAUCCUCCUCGACAAAUCUUUUAGGGCAAGGAUUUCUGAUUUCGGAAUAGCCAAGCUGUUGAAGACAGACCAAACUAAAACAACUACAGCAAUCAGGGGUACCAAAGGGUAUGUAGCUCUUGAAUGGUUCAAGAACCUGCCUGUCACCACCAAAGUAGAUACCUACAGCUUUGGCAUUCUUUUGCUGGAGCUAGUAUGCUGUAGAAAGAACUUUGAGAUUAAUGCUCUGCAAGAGCAUCAGGUAGUUCUUGCUGACUGGGCAUGUGAUUGCCUUAAAGAAGGAAAGUUAGGCCUUUUAGUAGAAGAAGAUGAAGAGGCAACGGAAGACAUGAAAACGGUGGAGAGGUUUGUGAUGGUUGCAAUUUGGUGCAUUCAGGAGGAUCCAUCUUUAAGACCUGGAAUGAAAACAGUUGUGCAGAUGCUAGAAGGAGCUGUUCAAGUCUCUAUUCCUCCUGAUCUUUCAUCAUUUAUCAGCACAAUCUAAAUCCUUUUUGUACACGUUUAUAUAUCCAGAAACUAAGGCCAAUUAAUGUAACCUAUCUACCAUGUAUUGAAUAAUCUGUAGUUCCUCUCAUUUCAGACAUGUCUAGAUCAUCUUCUGGGUUGUACUCUAAAUUUCAAGUCAAAUGAUGAUUUCUUCAACUUGUCCAAUUGAGUAGCAGAUUGAUUGCAAGGACUGAGUGUUUAUCAGCUUGGAAAGAAAAACAUCAUGUGUGUUACUACAUGCUCAACAAGGCUUCAAAUACUUGCAUCCUUUUUCUGUUCCUUUUCCAUGCUCAAGAGUAACGAGUAGAAUCAAAGAAUUAUUAUUCGAAAUAUGUCCUUAAUAAAUAAUUACUGACCGGCCAGUUCUUCAAUCUUAAAAGGUCUAGCUCUUACAGACUUGGCCCGUGUAGAUAGCAUGUUUGUCUCUCAAGUUAUUUAUCAUAAUGUAGUCCUAAUUAAGAUCGUUUAUCGUAGUUAUUAAACGCAGCUUAAUCUAAUUAAUUGAGUUAAAACACCACCACCUUGGCUUGAUUUUCAUAAAAAAACUUUAUUUGUUGUUACUAGAUUAACUCAGCCUGAUCAAUUCACAACCUUAAUUUUGUUCUGUUUUUAAAAUAUCGUUUUAACUUUCAUUAAAAAAAAUUAAAAUAAUAUUAUUUUAAAUUAAUUUUAAAAAUCUAAAUUAACAUAUCUAAUCUGUGGGUCGUGUGCGAGUUCGGGCUUAAUAUUUUUUAUGCGAACGGUUUGUUUAACAUCUUGAGAAAUUUAGUAAUUGCAGAUAAAAGUUGACCUGUCCAUUAUAAUAAUGAUAGGAAAGAAAAGGUUCAUUUUGGCGUCAAAGACAAUUUUAGACCAAUAUAAACGACUAGUCGUUGCAUUUGUUGUCUUGUUUAUGUAUGACAAGUAGUCGAUGGCAAUGUGACUUUCAAAUUGGAUUGAUUCGCGUGUUAAUUGUACCAUGCACAUUAAAGUGUCAUGCACUUAUUUCUUCUUCUUUUCCAUAUUAAAGAGUAACAAGUAAAAUCAUAUAUUUAUUAGCAUUAAGCAAAAGGAUUUUAUAAUUUAUUAUUCCACAUGGUUUAAUUUUAAAUAAUAAUUUUUUUUUUAAGGUUUAGUUUAAAUGAUAGAUGAGUUUGUUCCUUAAGAUACUAUUUAGAAUUGAAUCUUUAAAAAAACGAUUCUUCUUUAUGAAUUUACAAAUUCAGAUAUACAUGCUCUAAUUCAAAAUCAAUAUAUAGGAGGAAUCAUUCCAGCAAUGAUCACUUUUAAUUCACUUCACAAAUUACUCAACAAGAUGUUAACUAAAUUAUUAGCUCACACUAUGCUACAAAUUAGAUCAAUUAUUUAUAUAUAAAGAAAAAUAUGUAGAUAUAUCUAACAUUUUUUUUGACAAAAAUAAUUUAAAUUAUAUACGAGUUGACUUGAUAUAACUUAGUUAACUUGAAAUUAACUAUUGUUAAAAACAUGGUUUGAUUAAAAAAAUCCCAAGAUAAUAUUUUAAAAAAAAACAUUAAGAUAGAAAUAUAUUGGAUCUACUCAGGUUAACCUGAAUUAACUUGUCAAAUCAACAUUCUUGUUAUCCAUUUUUGAGACCCCAUACUAAAAAAUUAAAAAAAAAACUUGGAAAAAUAAAAUAUAUAUCAAUAAGAAGAGCAUGAAAAAUAUCUAGAAAAUUUUCAAAGACUAGUUAAGGAAGAUCAAAAUACUCAAAGUUGAAAAAUUAAUAUUUCAAUUUUGAAUGAUAAAUGACUUAUUAACAAGAAAAAAUCAAUUUGAGAAGAAACAUUUAAAAUUGAAUGUUUAAUAACUCAAUUGGUAUUUUUUUUAGGGUUUAAUUCAAUUUAUUGAAGGUUUAAUUGUGAGGAAUGUUGGUUUUUGAAUUCAAUUUGGGCUUUAAUCGGAAAGAAUUGAAGUGUUGGGGUUGAAUUGCAAUUUUAAAAAGAUAAUUUGAUCAAAUUAAUGGCUUAAUUGCAUAGAUAUUAAAGUUUGAUAGGCAAUUAGAAACUUGAUUGAAGAAACUCAAAAUCAAAGACCAAAUCGUAAAAGACGUGGGACUUUUAAGGACUUAAAUCGACAAAAUCAAGGGUCAAAUUAAAAAAAAUUGAAAGUUUAAUUGAUGGUCAAUUGAGGGUUAAUUUACAUAAAUCAACAAUCAAUGACCUAAUUAGAAAAGGUGCUAAAUUUUAGGGUUGAUUAUUAAGUUUGACAGGGAUGGAAUUGUAUGAAAUUAAAAGUUAAGAGACAAUUAAACAAAAUUUAAGUCAAAUAUAUCAAAAUCUAAGACCAAGUCACAAAUAUUUGGAUAAAGUCACUCAAAAAUGAUGUAUUUUCCAAGCUUAGAGAUAUACUAGGAGUUAUCAAAAAUCAAGUUUAAUAAAGGAUGUUGAAAAUAAACUCAAUGUUUGGGUUUUUUCUUUUUAAAUAAAGGAACUAAUCAAUUAGUUGAAACAGAGGAACUAAUCUACCGGUUGAGAACUAUUCAACUAAUUAAGUCAGAAAAAGUAUUUUUUUUUAUUAUAUUAAAUUAUUUUUUGUUUAGUUUAAUUUUUUAUUUAUCUAGGAUUUUAUAUUUAUAAAUAGACUUAUAAUUAUAAGUAUAAGGUAAGUGCAGGAAAGAAAAACACUUAAUAAAACAUACUUUCCUCUAAAAAUUUCUUCUUGUUAAAUAGCCUUGCAAUUUAGUAUUUAUCCAUAUAAGCUACCACACUAAUUUUCUUCCAGCAGGGGGCUCCUUCCAUGAAGAAUGCAUCUCGCAUUACUAUCCAAAGGGUAUGUAGUUCUUGAAUAGUUCAAGAACUUGGCUGUUACAACCAAGGUUACCUGCAGCUUAGGCAUUCUUUUCCUAGAGCUAGUUUGUUGCAGAAAGAACUUUGAGAUUAAUGCAAUGCAAGAACAUCAGAUAGUUCUUGCAGACUGGGCAUGUGAUUUCCUUAAAGAAGGAAAGUUGAACCUUUUAGUAGAAGAAGAUGAAGAGGCGAUGGAAGACAUGAAAAGGGUAGAGAGGUUUGUGAUGGUUUCAAUUCAAUUUGGUGCAUUCAGGAUGAUCCAUCUUUAAGACCUGGAAUGAAGAAAGUUGUGCAGAUGCUAUAAGGAGCUGUUCAAAUCUCUGUUCCUCCUGAUCCUUCAUCAUUUAUCAGCACAAUCUAAAUCCUUUUUGGACACACACACACACACACACACACACACACACACAUAUAUAUAUAUAUAUAUAUGUAUGUAUCCAGAAAAUAAGGCCGAUGAAUGUUACCUAUCUACCUUGUUUUGUAUUUUAUAAUCUGUAGUUGCUAUCUAACACAUGAUGCCUGAAAUGAUAGCAACUACAGAUUAUAAAAUACAAGGUAGAUAGGUAACAUUCAUUGGCCUUGGUUUCUGGAUACAUACAUACAUAUAUAUAUAUAUAUGGUCAAGCUUCGGAUUGAUUUCAUUGAAGUGGUCAAAAGAAGAAGGCUUCGGAUUGAUUUCAUUGAAGUGGCCAUACCAUUUAUUUUUAUCUAUUGCUCGAAGGGGUACAGCUAAUAACAUGUCUUUUUUCUAUGGGUCGAUCACACAUUAAUAUUGGACAAUUUCACAAUUGAAAAUUACAAUCACCUAAUGUUUGACUUAUUAAUGCUGCAAUAAGCACUUUCUAAGGAAGUAAAAAAGGAAGCUGCUAUGUUUGUUCUUCCAACCGCAAUACUCUCAUAAAUAAAGAAGAGGACCUGAGCCCUGAGUCCUGCAUUGUCUUGAAGAAAAGUAUCUUCACAUCUCAUGGAUUUUCAACUACCAUGUUGUUUUUGCUUCCUUCUUCUUCUGCUGCUGCCGUUCUCCACCUAUGGUCAGACUUACAGCAACAGAUCUUUGGAGUCAUCUCUCACUGCUGGAAGUGAUAACCUUUCUUGGACUUCACCAUCUGGGGAUUUUUCUUUUGGUUUCCAGCAAGUUGGUGAUGCUGGCUACAUACUUGCCAUAUGGUUCAACAAAAUACCUGAGAGAACCAUAGUCUGGUCAGCUAAUAGAAAUCAUCUAGUUCCGGGGGGGUCAAGAGUACAACUUACAGCAGAUGGUGAGUUCGUUCUAAAUGAUCAAUCAGGCGGACAAAUAUGGAGUCCAGUUUCUGGUGGAAGUGGAGCCGCCUAUGCAGCCAUGCUUGACACAGGAAACUUCGUGGUAGCAAGCCAAGCUGGUGCCAAUAUGUGGCAGAGUUUUGAUGAACCAACAGAUACACUGUUGCCCACACAAAAUCUGAAUUUAGGUGCUCAACUAAUUGCUCCCUACCUGGAAAAGAAUUAUUCAGAAGGAAGAU